rnacentral:rRNA from 1 species
GAUGAACGCUGGCGGCGUGCCUAAUACAUGCAAGUCGAGCGAACAGAUGAGAAGCUUGCUUCUCUGAUGUUAGCGGCGGACGGGUGAGUAACACGUGGGUAACCUACCUAUAAGACUGGGAUAACUCCGGGAAACCGGGGCUAAUACCGGAUAAUAUUUUGAACCGCAUGGUUCAAUAGUGCAAGACGGUUUCGGCUGUCACUUAUAGAUGGACCCGCGCCGUAGUAACUAGUUGGUAAGGUAACGGCUUACCAAGGCGACGAUACGUAGCCGACCUGAGAUGGUGAUCGGCCACACUAGAACUGAGACACGGUCCAGACUCCUACGGGAGGCAGCAGUAGGGAAUCUUCCGCAAUGGGCGGAAGCCUGACGGAGCAACGCCGCGUGAGUGAUGAAGGUCUUCGGAUCGUAAAACUCUGUUGUUAGGGAAGAACAAAUUUGUUAGUAACUGAACAAGUCUUGACGGUACCUAACCAGAAAGCCACGGCUAACUACGUGCCAGCCGCCGCAGUAA